GAGCAAGAGCAGGGACUUCUUCUCUCGUGUCAGAUUUCCGUUUUCGAUUUCCCCGGGGACAAGUUUUGAAUGGAAGAAUGGACGAGUCGCAUUGCUGCUGACAUGUCCGAUGACAAAUCUUCUCUGAUUAUGCA
ensembl:ncRNA F10F2.15 ncRNA